CAACUACUCCCUCUAUCCCAAAUUUCUUGUCUUAAAUUUGUCUAGAUACGGAUGUAUCUAAUACUAAAAUGUGACUUGAUACAUCCGUAUCUAGACAAAUCUAAGACAAGAAUUUUGGGACGGAGGGAGUAAUUU
rnacentral:pre_miRNA from 1 species